ACAUAAAAGCAGAAGCAUCCCGCUUCUCGCCUAAGUGAUUAAGAUUGCUAGGCUAAUUUUCGGAUGAAAACCACUUUUUGUGGGAUUGAGAGCGGGUAUAUUUAUAUAUCCGCUCUUUUUCUGCUUU
rfam:Lactobacillus ozensis DSM 23829 = JCM 17196 strain DSM 23829 NODE_101, whole genome shotgun sequence.